rnacentral:rRNA from 1 species
GUGGGGAAUCUUGCGCAAUGGGCGAAAGCCUGACGCAGCCAUGCCGCGUGAAUGAUGAAGGUCUUAGGAUUGUAAAAUUCUUUCACCGGGGACGAUAAUGACGGUGCCCGGAGAAGAAGCUCCGGCUAACUUCGUGCCAGCAGCCGCGGUAAUACGAAGGGGGCUAGCGUUGCUCGGAAUUACUGGGCGUAAAGGGCGCGUAGGCGGACAGCUUAGUCAGAGGUGAAAGCCCAGGGCUCAACCUUGGAAUUGCCUUUGAUACUGGCUGUCUUGAGUUUGGGAGAGGUGAGUGGAACUCCGAGUGUAGAGGUGAAAUUCGUAGAUAUUCGGAAGAACACCAGUGGCGAAGGCGACUCACUGGCCCAAUACUGACGCUGAGGCGCGAAAGCGUGGGGAGCAAACAGGAUUAGAAACCCCGGUAGUCC